rnacentral:rRNA from 1 species
GACGAACGCUGGCGGCGUGCUUAACACAUGCAAGUCGAACGAAGUGGCGAACGGGUGAGUAACGCGUAAUCAACCUGCCCUUCAGAGGGGGACAACAGUUGGAAACGACUGCAAAGACAGCAAAAUGAAGGAGGGGACUGCGGCUGAUGAGCUAGUGGGAGGGGGAAGGGCCCACCAGGGCGAUGAUCAGUAGCCGGUCUGGGAGGGUGAACGGCCACAUUGGGACUGGGACACGGCCCAGACUCCUACGGGAGGCAGCCGUGGGGAAUCUUCCGCAAUGGACGAAAGUCUGACGGAUCAACGCCGCGUGAGUGAUGACGGCCUUCGGGUUGUAAAGCUCUGUUAAUCGGGACGCGGUACCGGAAUAGAAAGCCACGGCUAACUACGUGCCAGCAGCCGCGGUAAUAC